UGUUCAAACCUGGUGGUAAAGACCUACAAAAAGUUUGAGGUGGAAAUUUACGUCCUUGCCAAGGAUGAAGGUGGUCGCCACACUGCCUUCUUCUCAAAUUACAACCCAUAGUUCUACUUCAGGACAGCUGACAUAUGUGGGAAAAUUGAGUUUCCUCCGGACGUGAAGAUUGUUAUGCCUGGUGACAACAUAACUGCAAUCUUUGAGUUGAUGUUGCCUGUUCCACUCGAACCAGGGCUAAGAUUUGCGCUGAGGGAAGGAGGGAGGACCGUCGGCUCCGGAGUCAUUGCCGAAGUCAUGAUCUAA
rnacentral:rRNA from 1 species